rnacentral:rRNA from 1 species
GAUGAACGCUAGCGGCAGGCUUAAUACAUGCAAGUCGAGGGGCAUCAAGGUACACGAAAGUGUAUUGUUGGCGACCGGCGGACGGGUGAGUAAUAGGUAGGUAACCUACCUCAUACUGAGGCAUAGCUGGGAGAAAUUCCAGGUAAUUCCUCAUGAGGUUAUAUGACACAUGUGAUAUAAUCAAAGGUAUCGCAAGGUACUGGUAUGAGAUGGGCUUACUGACCAUUAGCUAGUUGGUGAGAUAAGAGCUCACCAAGGCGAAGAUGGUUAGGGGUUUUGAGAGAGAGAUCCCCCAAUUGGAACUGAGAUACGGUCCAGACUCCUACGGGAGGCAGCAGUAGGGAAUAUUGGGCAAUGGGCGGAAGCCUGACCCAGCCAUGCCGCGUGAAGGAAGACGGCCUUAUGGGUUGUAAACUUCUUUACUAUGCGACUAACUAGAUUUACGAGAUAAUUCUAUAGAAUGUAGCAUAGCAAAAGCACCGGA